AUUGAACGCUGGCGGCAGGCCUAACACAUGCAAGUCGAACGAGUGGCGGACGGGUGAGUAAUGUCUGGGAAACUGCCCGAUGGAGGGGGAUAACUACUGGAAACGGUAGCUAAUACCGCAUACCAUCGGAUGUGCCCAGAUGGGAUUAGCUAGUAGGUGGGGUAAUGGCUCACCUAGGAGACGAUCCCUAGCUGGUCUGAGAGGAGGACCGGCCACAUUGGAACUGAGACACGGUCCAGACUCCUACGGUAGGCAGCAGUGGGGAAUAUUGGACAAUGGGCGCAAGCCUGAUGCAGCCAGGCCGCGUUUGUGAAGAAGGCCUUCGGGUUGUAAAGUACUUUCAGCGGGGAGGCGUUACCCGCAGAAGAAGCACCGGCUAACUCCGUGCCAGCAGCCGCGGUAAUUC
rnacentral:rRNA from 1 species